CGCGUGCACUGGUUCGGCCGGGCCUUUCCCUCUGGGGAGCCGCAUGCCCUUCACUGGGUGUGUCGGGGAACCAGGACUUUUACUUUGAACAAAUUAGGUCGCUUAAAGAAGGCCUAUGCUCGAAUACAUUAGCAUGGAAUAAUAGAAUAGGACGCGUGGUUCUAUUUUGUUGGUUUCUAGGACCGCCGUAAUGAUUAAUAGGGACAGUCGGGGGCAUCAGUAUUCAAUUGUCAGAGGUGAAAUUCUUGGAUUUAUUGAAGACUAACUACUGCGAAAGCAUUUGCCAAGGAUGUUUUCAUUAAUCAGGAACGAAAGUUAGGGGAUCGAAGACGAUCAGAUACCGUCGUAGUCUUAACCAUAAACUAUGCCGACUAGGGAUCGGACGAUGUUAUAUUUUGACUCGUUCGGCACCUUACACGAAAGUAAAGUUUCUGGGUUCUGGGGGGAGUAUGGUCGCAAGGCUGAAACUUAAAGAAAUUGACGGAAGGGCACCACCAGGGGUGGAGCCUGCGGCUUAAUUUGACUCAACACGGGGAAACUCACCAGGUCCAGACACAAGUAGGAUUGACAGAUUGAGAGCUCUUUCUUGAUUUUGUGGGUGGUGGUGCAUGGCCGUUCUUAGUUGGUGGAGUGAUUUGUCUGCUUAAUUGCGAUAACGAACGAGACCUUAACCUGCUAAAUAGCCCGCAUUGCUUUGGCAGUGCGCCGGCUUCUUAGAGGGACUAUCGG
rnacentral:rRNA from 1 species